AUUGCACGCUGGCGGCAGGCCUAACACAUGCAAGUCGAGCGAGGGGCGGACGGGUGAGUAAUGUCUGGGAAACUGCCUGAUGGAGGGGGAUAACUACUGGAAACGGUAGCUAAUACCGCAUACCAUCGGAUGUGCCCAGAUGGGAUUAGCUAGUAGGUGAGGGAACGGCUCACCUAGGCGCCGAUCCCUAGCUGGUCUGAGAGGAGGACCAGCCAUACUGGAACUGAGCCACGGUCCAGACUCCUACGUGAGGCAGCAGUGGGUAAUAUUGCACAAUGGGCGCAAGCCUGAUGCAGCCAUGCCGCGUGUAUGAAGAAGGCCUUCGGGUUGUAAGGUACUUUCAGCGGGGAGGCGUUACCCGCAGAAGAAGCACCGGCUAACUCCGUGCCAGCAGCCGCGGUAAUUC
rnacentral:rRNA from 1 species